AUUGAACGCUGGCGGCAUGCCUUACACAUGCAAGUCGAACGGCAGCACGGGUGCUCGCACCUGGUGGCGAGUGGCGAACGGGUGAGUAAUACAUCGGAACAUGUCCUGUAGUGGGGGAUAGCCCGGCGAAAGCCGGAUUAAUACCGCAUACGAUCUACGGAUGAAAGCGGGGGACCUUCGGGCCUCGCGCUAUAGGGUUGGCCGAUAGCUGAUUAGCUAGUUGGUGGGGUAAAGGCCUACCAAGGCGACGAUCAGUAGCUGGUCUGAGAGGACGACCAGCCACACUGGGACUGAGACACGGCCCAGACUCCUACGGGAGGCAGCAGUGGGGAAUUUUGGACAAUGGGCGAAAGCCUGAUCCAGCAAUGCCGCGUGUGUGAAGAAGGCCUUCGGGUUGUAAAGCACUUUUGUCCGGAAAGAAAUCCUUGGCUCUAAUACAGUCGGGGGAUGACGGUACCGGAAGAAUAAGCACCGGCUAACUACGUG
rnacentral:rRNA from 1 species